ACCAAACGAGUACAGUAUAUGAAAUAUCCACAAGCUGCAUGGGCUCCAUAUGACAGAAUGAACGAGUUAUGUUUAUGGAGUGAGCUGUUGUGAUUUUAUUUGUUCCUCUUUUGUUUUAAUACAGAUACUUUGGGUUUUAAUACAGAUAUUGGAGAUUAGUAUCAAGCAGACAGUCUUUCUUAUGUAAAUAUUCCAAUGUAAUCAUGGCUUAUUAGGCAACUGAAAUCUUCCUCCCUCGGCAAUUCCUACAGCAUCAUUGUUUUCAUCCAUCCAGAGGGCCUGCUUGAUAGCACCAUCCCCAUGCAAUCUUGCUUCCUCUUUGUACAGUCUUUAAAUUCUGCUCAAUAGUUUGAGGCCAUCUUUCCUUUGAGCACUUCUUAGAGGUUAAUCUGAGCUAAGGUAAUUUAAAUAUUGGCAGAGAGCUGAAGAUCAGGCCCCAUGGAAAGGGAAAAAAAACUCUCUGCAAACUGAAGAGAUUUGCUUUCUUUUUUCCCCUAAUAAAAACAAACAGCUGCGGCUCCCAUAUGGUACUCUCUUGUAAAAUAUUUACAUCUGAAAGGCACCCUGAUCCUUACUGGAGACCACAGUUUAAACUAUGGCAAUAAGAGGGAUGGGGGUGAGGAUUGGGCAGGUCUGGAAAUCAUGUACUUUAGAGCUUUCAUCACAAAGGUUCUUAAGCAUUUCUUUUCUGUUUUUUCUUUGCAGUCGUAUUAAAUUGGGAGCAAAAAAAGAAGAAGCCAUCUUCUAGUCACACAGUAAAAACACUUUCCUAGCCCCUACAGACUUCAAAGCGUGCAGCAAAGUGUUAGGAGAAAGAGACCCAAACUUAUGGGCUGAUAUGCAUAGAUAUCACUUUCUUCUUGGGAUUCACCAAAAAUAUUCUGCCGCCUACGGCAAAGAGCAUGAUAGUGGCCUGCCCUCUGGCCUGGCCACUGAACCUUACUUUAAGGCCAUUUUCUCCUCUUGACUUGGUCCUCCAGCAGAAGGGGAUGGCUCUGGAACACUGGGUCGUAAUCUCCCUCUUCCACCUGAGGUUGUUGCGUCACUCCUACUUGGGUUAUCCCUGGGUUCACUGCUUCAGAAUGAAUGAGUGUGUUAUUCUGAAUGCGGCAAAUGGAAUGUUUCCAGAGCCAAGAGUCUUCAGGAUUUACAUGCAGUCUGAUGGAAGAGGGAGAUGGUAUGCCUGGGGAGGAAUGACCAGAACUUUUAUAUAA
rnacentral:lncRNA from 1 species